AUUACUGUGUAUUAAGUUCCUCUGUUUCCCCUGUCCUGUGUUGGAUCAUUGUACAUCUCUCUUGUGUUCUCUGUGUUUCUUUUCUUGUGUUCCCUGUGUUUUAUUUGGAUUAACUUCUUGGACAUCUUUGACUCACUAGGAACAAAUCCACACUCAGUGGGAUGGAAUGAAAUGGAGAAAACAUCACGAUGGAAACAGACAGUGUCACAUCUCUGUAAAGUGAGUGUACCCCUCAUGACUGAGACCAGCUGUGACUCACAACUACAGCACCAGAGGGAUGGAAGAUGGAGAGACAUGGUGAACAAAGCUGCACAAAAGCAGGAAAGUUAACCAACAGCUGAGGAGGACUUAUGAUGCCUGGAGUGAUGUCCAAAGAUGGCGAGCAUAACAAGAUUACCUUAUCUAAUCUCUGGAUAUCCAAUAGAAUGCAGGUUAUUUCAUUGUAUGGUAUUAAAACAUUGAUACUGUAAGUGUUUUUAUUUACACACAUGAUCACACUUCAUUCUAUUCAAAUCUGACACUAACAUUUCAAAAUAAUUCAUUGUUUUUUUUAUAUAAUUGUAUUUCAUUGUGUGCAAGGGUCUAAAUACAUCAGGACAUCCUGUGAGUCAUCAUAAUCCCAAAAAAUGAAAAUAAAAAAUCCAACGUCAUGUCAUA